rnacentral:rRNA from 1 species
CCUACGCGAGGCAGCAGUGAGGAAUAUUGGUCAAUGGGCGGAAUCCUGAACCAGCCAAGUAGCGUGCAGGAUGACGGCCCUACGGGUUUUAAACUGCUUUUAUACGGGAAUAACGCGCCUUACGUGUAGGGCUUUGCAUGUACCGUAUGAAUAAUGACCGGCUAAUUCCGUGCCAGCAGCCGCGGUAAUACGGGAGGUCCGGGCGUUAUCCGGAUUUCUUGGGUUUAAAGGUAGCGUAGGCCGCAUGUCAAGCGUGCUGUGAAAUGUCCGGGCUCAACCCGGGCCUUGCAGCGCGAACUGGCGUGCUUGAGUCCGCGGAAAGCAGGCGGAAUUCGUCGUGUAGCGGUGAAAUGCUUAGAUAUGACGAAGAACCCCGAUUGCGAAGGCAGCUUGCUGCAGCGGAACUGACGCUGAUGCUCGAAAGCGCGGGUAUCGAACAGGAUUAGAUACCCCAGUAGUC